CAGGUUCCCGUGGGUCCCAGGCUGCCUCCGACCCCGAGUGGAGUGGACUAUUGGAAUCUGUUCCCCUUCGUCGUCCUGGCCCCUUUCCAUUCUCUGACCUCUGGGGCUGAAGAAUCACCUAUGGUUAACAAGACACCAGAACGACUAACGUGAAACUCUGCUUUGCUGGGACACUUGGCGCUGGCCAGCUGGAGCUGAGAAAUUCGACGUGAUUGAGAAGAGACCAGCAUCACUGAGGUGAGAUCUUCUCGGGAAAGUUUCCUGAGGGCACAGAGGAAGUGUUCCAGAGGUGGCCAUGGUCGUACCCUGUGCAGGCAGUGUGACUUGGUAAUGUGUAAGAGUCACCCAGGUGGUGCUUGUUUUGAAGCCAUGAAGGGGUCCAUGGAGAGCAGCUGAGGCCCCAACAUUUUGGAGAUGCCAGUACAAUGGGAUGACCACCACCACCAGUAGCACAGUGGAGUGGAGCCCACUGGAGCCCAGAAGACAAGCUGUGUGCGCUGUGGAGAAAUGACCCAAACCCUUGGAGUUCAGAAGAUUUGACAGGGGGUCACUUGGACUGGCUGGCUUUGUAUGUCAACUUGACACAAGCUAAAGUCAUCAUAGAGGAAGAAGCUUCAGUUGAGGAAAUGCCACCUUGAGAUCCAGCUACUGGCUGCCCCAUUGAGGUUUCUCACCCACCAUUUGGCCUCCUGCCUGGGACUCGUGGCCAGCUGCAGCAACUUGGGAAACUGCACCGUCUCUGCCUGGGACUGGCUGCUUUCGGGACCAGCUGUUCGCUGCCUGCCUCCUCUGGGGAUCUGCAGCAUUUUUGUUUAAUCUAUUACAUCCUGUCCUGACUCCCCCCAAUGAUGAAAAAUGAUCUGAAAGUGUAAGCUAAAUAAACCCUUUCUC